rnacentral:misc_RNA from 1 species
AGUCGUAACAAGGUUUCCGUAGGUGAACCUGCGGAAGGAUCAUUACAAAAUGUAGAGGUUGGUGUUCGUGUGUGUGUUUCUCAUCACCCCUUCACGGGACUUGUGAUCACCACUUGACAUCUCAACUUUCUUCAACCCACUUGUGCACAAUUGAACUGUAUCUGGCGAGUGUCUCACUGUUUCCAAAGUGAUUGUUGUACCUUUGCAUCACGCAUUGGUGCGCAACACCCAGGAUCCACAGCCUCGCCACCAGUAUCUCCACACACAUCACUUUUUGACACUGACUGACGAUGUAAAAACAUAAACAAAUAGAGAAACAACUUUUAACAACGGAUCUCUUGGCUCUU